rnacentral:tRNA from 1 species
GGGGGUAUAGCUCAGUGGUAGAGCAUUUGACUGCAGAUCAAGAGGUCCCCGGUUCAAAUGUGCACACA